UGCUGAUAAAGGAAAAUUUCAAUUCAAAUAUCUCAAAGCCGUGCACGAUGUGGUGAAAACUAUGGUGUAUAGAUUACUAAGACCAUGGUUGCACAUCGACUUUGUCUUCUUCCUUACUCCUGUAGGGAUGCUACAGUCUAGACUACU